rnacentral:rRNA from 1 species
UAGAGGAAGUAAAAGUCGUAACAAGGUUUCCGUAGGUGAACCUGCGGAAGGAUCAUUAUUGAAAUAAACCUGAUAAGUUGCUGCUGGUUCUCUUGAGAGCAUGUGCACACUUGUCAUUUUUGUAUAUUCACCUGUGCACCUUUUGUAGACCUGACUAUCUCUCUGAAUGCUUUAAUGCACUCAGGAUUGAGGAUUGACUUCUUGUCUCUUCUUAUAUUUUCAGGUCUAUGUUUCUUCAUAUACCCUAAUGUAUGUUUAUAGAAUGUGAUUAAUGGGCCUUUGUGCCUAUAAACCAUUACAACUUUCAGCAACGGAUCUCUUGGCUCUCGCAUCGAUGAAGAACGCAGCGAAAUGCGAUAAGUAAUGUGAAUUGCAGAAUUCAGUGAAUCAUCGAAUCUUUGAACGCACCUUGCGCUCCUUGGUAUUCCGAGGAGCAUGCCUGUUUGAGUGUCAUUAAUAUUAUCAACCUCAUGGGUUGGAUGUGGGUUUGCUGGUCUCUUGAGGUCAGCUCCCCUUAAAUGCAUUAGCGGAUGUUUUGCCAACCGUUCAUUGGUGUGAUAAUUAUCUACGCUAUUGACGUGAAGCAAGGUUC